CCUCACGUGAUCAUUAGCCAUUGGCCGUCGACGGCUGUAGAUGAAAGCCAGAUCAGUCUCUGCUUCGUUUUUAUGUUAUUCAGUCUAGUCUUUGACCUUACUAAAAAAAAAAUCCGUGUUCUACUUGCGUCCUCAGUAAGGAAGGAGUGGAUGUAGGCGAAGGACGGGCGGAGCUUGCAGUCUCUGUUCCAGCAACUCAACAUGAGCUCAUAGAGACCCUGAGGACACACAGCCGGUUUGCUCAGAUAUACCUGCAAGAGAGAGGGAGAAAGGUGUAUGGCGGUGGCACCAUUUGAUUGAACUCCCCAGCAUUGUCGAUGACUUGUUCAUCAGUGAGGUUGAAGUACGGCUGCUCCUGACAAACGCUCAGCAUCUCCCACAGAGUGACCCCGAAUGCCCACACAUCGCUGGCCGUGGUGAACUUACCCUGGGAACACACAACCAUGCAGAUCAACGCUGUCAUCUUCAACAUCAUAAUCUCCAUCAGUAUUAAAAUUCUGUCGCCAUCAUCAUUAUAGGAUGGCAAAUUGUUGGAACAGAAGGGGAUAAACACAUCUCCUAAUUUCUUGUCUGUGAAGCCAAAGUUUUAUUUCCUGCCACAUGAAGACCGACUUCCAUCGUUUACAGUGAACAAGUUCCUGUUGUUGGGAGUAAAAAUCUGAAAAUCUUUGAGUAACACAAAGUGCAAAGAAAAAUGGGGAGAUAACUGUUAAUUAUGCAACAGAUUCCCUCUAAAGUAGUAAAACUCAUUUUUUUUGUAUACAAAUUUCGUGUUAAAUUUUUUUCAAGAAACCCCCCCCCCCCCCAAAUUCAUGGUCAGUAUAAAACAUUAUAACACAUAGUAUUGCAACCAUCACACAUCGUGAGAUGCACACUCAUUCCUGUCCUCUCACCAUGAGUAUACACUCCCAGGCCAUCCAGCGUAUCGGCAGCACAGCUCUGCCCUGGAUCCUGUAGUAGUCUCCAGCAUACAAGUUCCUGCUCAUGCCAAAAUCAGCUAUCUUAAUGUGACGCUCACCACCCCGAUCCUCUCCGCUCUCACCCUUCUCACCCCCGACCAGACAAUUACGUGUUGCCAGAUCCCGGUGCACGAAGUUGAGGGAGGAGAGGAACUUCAUUCCUGACGCAAUCUGGCUGGCCAUGGAGAUGAGAGCCGGGUAACUGGAGGGGAAAUGGUGACAGAUAGAGAGAAUAAACAAUAAAGUCUGCAUUUAUAUCUGCA